AUUGAAUACAAAGAUGCAGAAGCCACCACCAGUUGAAGAAGUCUGUCAGCAAAUCCCUGGGACCUCUGAGCAGCUAUUCUGUUCUGAACAUCCCUAGCCAGCACACCACUUGAAGAUGCAUGGCUGAUCAGUGAGUGCUUUUAGCAAGAUGUAAGCAAGGUAAAAAUAGAUAUGCCUUCCUAGUUUCUAGAAAUAUUCAGUUUAAGGAUUUCAUAAGCUGAAUGCUCAUACACACUAGCAGACUUUUUGUCUGUCUGUUUAAAUAGUUUUUGAUCUGUGUGUGCUUUCAAGAUCCACAACACCUAAUGGUUUUGGCUAUAUCACAAUUCAGUUGGGUAGCAAGUGAAAAAGAUUUAAAAUUGCCUGAAUAUUUCAGUUGGCAGUUCUGAGUUCUUGGGCUAUAAGGAGUGGUGAAUAGUUGCUCCAUUCAUGCUUCUUUCAUUUCAGGUAGGAUUUUUUACUCCUGCGUUACAGCUUCUCUCAAUCGAAAUCACUUCACAAGAGCAAUUCUUCCUCCAGAUAAGUAAUGCAACGGACACAAAAAUAAUCUGUUCAGGAAAGUCAUUUAAGAGGAAAUCCCUUUUAAUUAAGCAUUGGUUAUAUUCUGCACCAAAUAACUAAAGCCUUCCAUCACUUGUGGAUGUAAGCACAGGAGAAUAUUCCUGUGAAAACACAAUUCCUUUUGUCUGCACCUCUCUGGUUGGUUCAAACAUUAAUGAACUCAUCACCAUCAGAAAACCAGUCAGCUAGCUGCCUAUUUAGGCAACAGUCUGUGUACCUAGAAUUGAACUGAAAUGAGAAAAUGCCUCGUUACAAGCGCCGUUUUUUAUGUGCAUGCUGGAUGAGUGAAUACUUUGGAACAAAUGCAUACUCUAUAUAGACUGAAGAUGAGGCUUUCACUAAAUGUUAAUAUUCACAUGCAAGGGAAGGAAACAGGGACAUUACACUGUAUGGAUCUGCACACUUAAAUGCAGAGCACACAUCUUGCUGACAGUUCCCACUUUUUUUUUCAAAAUUUGGAACUACAAGCCAGAAAUUCAGACCAGUGAGUGGGAAGCUGUGGAAGCCAUUCAAAAAAGGACCCCCUUCAGACUGAAACCUGUGGAGAUAAAAGGGAACAUUGCUGCAGCCAGACACAACCCUCUGCCUUUGCCAAGGCAGAAGAAAGGCUGGAAGCAGAGAAAGGAACACAGUGUCCUCCUUACACAACCCGUUAACACCAGGAAAAGUGCAUUCUCUUAA
rnacentral:lncRNA from 1 species